UACGAAGGGGGCUAGCGUUGCUCGGAAUCACUGGGCGUAAAGCGCACGUAGGCGGAUCUUUAAGUCAGGGGUGAAAUCCUGGAGCUCAACUCCAGAACUGCCUUUGAUACUGGGGAUCUCGAGUCCGGGAGAGGUGAGUGGAACUGCGAGUGUAGAGGUGAAAUUCGUAGAUAUCCGCAAGAACACCAGUGGCGAAGGCGGCUCACUGGCCCGGUACUGACGCUGAGGUGCGAAAGCGUGGGGAGCAAACAGG
rnacentral:rRNA from 1 species